GUGAGAAGGUGCUGCCAGCAAUAGACAAUAUACAAACAGAAUACAGACAAAAGUCCACAUAGACGUCAUACAAAAAAACACAAAUCGUAAGUCGCUGUGGAUAAAAGCAUCUGCUAAAUGACUAAAUGUAAACGUAAAAAACAUUAAACAUAAACUCGGGUCCUCUGUCCUGCUCUGUCCUGCUCAGUCACAGCGGAUCAAACUGAAAUACAACACUGUAAUGUCCAGUAGNNNNNNNNNNUACUUUUUAUAAGGAUUUACUUUCUACAAGAAACCUUGAGAGGAACCAGACUCAACACCCAAAGCAUGGCUGGCUGGAUAGAGCAUGAUACACAGAGGCAGUGGGAGCAGAUCAGCACAUCACGUUACAGCAGCACAGCCUACUGCAGUGCCUGGACGCUCACCAACCCACAGAGCUAUAGGCUGCUAUACUAUCCACCAAUCAAUGGAUCAGACUGGAUCCAUGUUUCAACUGUUUCCUGCAAAUUGCACUUAUUGCAUCCUCCAGUAGGUGUCAGCACCACUCUAUUUAAUAUCAGAAUCACCUUUAUUCGCCAAGUACAUUUACUCAUAACUGGAAUUUGCCUUAGUGAGAAGGUGCUGCCAGCAAUAGACAAUAUACAAACAGAAUACAGACAAAAGUCCACAUAGACGUCAUACAAAAAAACACAAAUCGUAAGUCGCUGUGGAUAAAAGCAUCUGCUAAAUGACUAAAUGUAAACGUAAAAAACAUUAAACAUAAACUCGGGUCCUCUGUCCUGCUCUGUCCUGCUCAGUCACAGCGGAUCAAACUGAAAUACAACACUGUAAUGUCCAGUAGGCUACAGUCAGUGCAUCAUAUUAUCAUAAGUCUUUCAGUCAAGUAUAGAAACAAAUGGCCAUUUUCAAACAAACCCAAACAUGCCUACUGGGGGUUUGGUCAUGGACAAUCCAGUUGUUGUUUGGUGCUUGUUCAUGAUAUAACUACUGUAUAUAUGCAUGUGUUUUGUGAUACUGGUUGAGUUAUAUAUUAACAAACUGAGUCUCUAGCAGGUGUGUUGGGGUGUAUAAUGAUAUUCUAAAGUAGAAGCUAUGGUACAGUAUACUGCUAACGUUCAAAGUGUCACUACCUUACUGUAAUUAGAAGUUAUUUUUGAUUGAUUAGUUUUUACCCCUUUUUCGUGGUAUCCAAUUGGUAGUUACAAUCUUGUCCCAAAGGCUGCAACUCCCGUACGGACUCGGGAGAGAUGAAGGUCGAGACUCAUGCGUCCUCUGAAACACAACCCAGCAGCCGCUCUGCUUCUUGACACAAUGCCCGCUUAACCCGGAAGCCAGCCGCAAAAAUGUGUCAGAGGAAACACCAUACACCUGGCGACCGUGUCAGCGUGUAUUGCGCCCCGAACCGCCACAGGAGUGCUAGAUGGGACAAGAACAUCCCUGCAGAACAAACCCUCC
rnacentral:lncRNA from 13 species